CUGGAAAGAACCUGCCGGCUGAACCAGGAGCACGUUUGCCCCUCUAAUUGGGAGGUUCCAAACUUCACCACAGGGGGCGCUGCGUGGUCGGAGGUGCUUUGGCCUUGUUUGCGUUCCGGAAACGCACAGUGGUUACGGGCAUAAUGUAAAGUCAGUUCCGUGGGGGUCAUUGGCACGUCAUAGCCUGGUCCUGAGGGGCAGAGUCCAUGUCACUGAGGAAAGCAGAGGUUCUCGGCCAGCAGUAAUAACACGCUCACCUGUGUGAGGUAAGCCCCACUGCCCAAUACCUUAGGGC
rnacentral:lncRNA from 1 species